rnacentral:rRNA from 1 species
GUUUUAGUCUUUUCAGAGGAAUUUGUCCCUUAAUCGAUAGUCCUCGUUUUAAUUGUUCUUAAUUUUGUAUAUCAGUAUGUAUACCUCCGUUAUAAGUUUAUUUUAUUAGAUUUAAUAAUUUACUGAUUUUUUAAUUUUAAUUUAUUUCAGGUCAAGGUGCAGCUUAUAAUUAAGUGGAGAUGAAUUACAAUAUUAUGUUAAUAUUAUGAAUAUAAAUUUGAAAUAUGUUUAUUGAAGGUGGAUUUGUUAGUAAUUGUAUAUAUAUUGAUAUUUUGAUUUUAGCUCUAAAAUAAGUACACAUCGC